rnacentral:rRNA from 1 species
UACACACGGAUAACAUACCGAAAGGUAUGCUAAUACGGGAUAAUAUAUUUGAGAGGCAUCUCUUAAAUAUCAAAGGUGAGCCAGUACAGGAUGGACCCGCGUCUGAUUAGCUAGUUGGUAAGGUAACGGCUUACCAAGGCGACGAUCAGUAGCCGACCUGAGAGGGUGAUCGGCCACAUUGGAACUGAGACACGGUCCAAACUCCUACGGGAGGCAGCAGUGGGGAAUAUUGCACAAUGGGCGAAAGCCUGAUGCAGCAACGCCGCGUGAGUGAUGAAGGCCUUCGGGUCGUAAAACUCUGUCCUCAAGGAAGAUAAUGACGGUACUUGAGGAGGAAGCCCCGGCUAACUACGUGCCAGCAGCCGCGGUAAUACGUAGGGGGCUAGCGUUAUCCGGAUUUACUGGGCGUAAAGGGUGCGUAGGCGGUCUUUCAAGUCAGGAGUGAAAGGCUACGGCUCAACCGUAGUAAGCUCUUGAAACUGGGAGACUUGAGUGCAGGAGAGGAGAGUGGAAUUCCUAGUGUAGCGGUGAAAUGCGUAGAUAUUAGGAGGAACACCAGUUGCGAAGGCGGCUCUCUGGACUGUAACUGACGCUGAGGCACGAAAGCGUGGGGAGCAAACAGGAUUAGAUACCCUGGUAGUCCACGCUGUAGACGAUGAAUACUAGGUGUCGGGGGUUACCCCCUUCGGUGCCGCAGC